AGAUAACUAUAAGAGUUGCAGUAGAAAGCACUGCAUAAUAAAAAUAUAUCAUGGGCCUUAUCAUUACUAAUAACUGCAAUAAAAACAAAAACCACUUUUGAGAUGAUGAUCCAUGAUGCUAAUAAACUUUUAUAUUGGAUUGGAUCAUUACUAUUAACGACUGCAACAAAAUCAAAGAACACAUUGAAGAGGAUGAAAAUGUUUGUCAUUGUGUGAUGGUGCUGAAUGUCGCCACCUAGUGAAGGCAAGGAUCAAACAUGGGCUAUU
rnacentral:lncRNA from 1 species